CCUACGGGUGGCAGCAGUGAGGAAUAUUGGUCAAUGGACGAAAGUCUGAACCAGCCAAGUCGCGUGAAGGAUUACUGCCCUAUGGGUUGUAAACUUCUUUUAUAUGGGAAUAAAAUGUUCCACGUGUGGGAUUUUGUAUGUACCAUAUGAAUAAGGAUCGGCUAACUCCGUGCCAGCAGCCGCGGUAAUACGGAGGAUCCGAGCGUUAUCCGGAUUUAUUGGGUUUAAAGGGGGCGUAGGUGGAUUGUUAAGUCAGUGGUGAAAGUUUGAGGCUCAACCGUAAAAUUGCAGUUGAAACUGGCAGUCUUGAGAACAGUAGAGGGGGGCGGAAUGCGUGGUGUAGCGGCGAAAUGCUUAGAGAUCACGAAGAACGCCGAUUGCGAAGGCAGCUCACUGGACUGCAACUGACACUGAGGCUCGAAAGUGUGGGUAUCAAACAGGAUUAGAUACCCUAGUAGUC
rnacentral:rRNA from 1 species